GAUGAAGAACGCAGCGAAAUGCGAUAAGUAAUGUGAAUUGCAGAAUUCAGUGAAUCAUCGAAUCUUUGAACGCACAUUGCGCCCGCCAGUAUUCUGGCGGGCAUGCCUGUUCGAGCGUCAUUUCAACCAUCAAGCCCCCGGCUUGUGUUGGGGACCUGCGGCUGCCCGCAGGCCCUGAAAACCAGUGGCGGGCUCGCUGUCACUCCGAGCGUAGUAGCAUAUAUCUCGCUCAGGGCGUGCUGCGGGUUCCGGCCGUUAAAAGCCUUUUUUUACCCAAGGUUGACCUCGGAUCAGGUAGGAAGACCCGCUGAACUUAAGCAUAUCAAUAAGCGGAGGA
rnacentral:misc_RNA from 1 species